CUUUAUGAAAAGGUCACACAGCUAGCCAGGUAAACCAGGUAAACCAGGUAAACUAGGUAAACCUUGGUGACGUCAGGCGCACAACAGAUCCUGGCUCAGUUCACCUGCCAUCCACACAAAAGCAGUAAACAGGUAAAGUCAGGUGUACAAAAACCCUGGCUGUGGUCCAGGUGCAUUCAGGUUCCAGAGCGAACAGACGGACGUUUCAUGUUCAGCAGAGAGGAACGAGUCUUUGUGCUCCUGCAGAACACACCUGAGAUCACAGAGCUCACACCUGGGUGGUCUCAGGUGCCCUGAACACAUCAGACCCCAACAUCCCCCAACAACACCUGAACUCAGCAUGAACUCAGCAUGAACUCAGCACCUCCUGCUGCUCCUGAGCAUGUUUAAAUCUUUGCUUUUAUUUGUAUUUGUGUCUUUUAAUAUCUUGUUUUAUAAGUUUAUCUUGAUUUCUGGUUUUGGCUCAACUUUGUCCUGAAUCCUGCUCCAUGACAUCAUCAUCAUUGUUAUUAUUAUUAUUGUAAUUAUCGUUUUUUUAAUCUGAAUUCAUUUUUUCCACAAUUCAGACGUGACAAACCCUCGUCACCACUGGACCUGAGCAGAACCACAUUAGACUCCAUUUCAUGUCCUGUGGUUUGACUGGAUGUCUGCGGUGACAGCAGGUCACCACCGGAGAGCAGCAGACGGUCGACACAAGCCGAUCCAGGACCACUGAGGUCCGACCCAUCACGGCUUCAUCCAGGUUCUUGUCCUGACCAGGUUUACGGUGGAGAGAUCAGUUAAAGUAUCUGUCAUAAGGUAAGAUGUCACUGUCACUGAUGUCUGACCCAGUCCAGUGACAUGACGACUCGGAGGUUCUGAAGGUUCUUUGAUGUUGAGAUGAUUUUAUAUGCAGGUUUAUUUUGUACAUGGAGAACAGAAACGCUGCACGACGGAUCCACAACACUGAUGACGUAGCAACACUUAAACACAAACAUAAGAGUCACCAGUCGCUGGUCAGAGAAGCUGUUAGCUUAGCAUCAGUCUGAUCAGAUUCAAACAGAAUUAUGAUCCGUUUCAUACCAAGAACAUGAAUCAAUUCAAGACAUGUUGCUUCAGUGAAGACGUUCUAAAAGCUUCUGAAUGAAAGCAGAAGUUGGUUCUGACAUGAACAAAUCCAACCUGUUUACAACUCAGCAGACUGCGGAGCUUGUGACAAAACUGAGGGAACGAGUGCGAAAGAUGUUUCCAUCUGAAAGAAACAAGAACACAGAUCAAUCAAACAGGUGAUUUAAACGAUCACAGAUAAACAGAUGGAUCUUCUCACCUUCUGACCUUUGAC